AUUGAACGCUGGCGGCAGGCUUAACACAUGCAAGUCGAGCGGAGAUGAGGUGCUUGCACCUUAUCUUAGCGGCGGACGGGUGAGUAAUGCUUAGGAAUCUGCCUAUUAGUGGGGGACAACAUUCCGAAAGGAGUGCUAAUACCGCAUACGCCCUACGGGGGAAAGCAGGGGAUCUUCGGACCUUGCGCUAAUAGAUGAGCCUAAGUCGGAUUAGCUAGUUGGUGGGGUAAAGGCCUACCAAGGCGACGAUCUGUAGCGGGUCUGAGAGGAUGAUCCGCAGCACUGGGACUGAGACACGGCCCAGACUCCUACGGGAGGCAGCAGUGGGGAAUAUUGGACAAUGGGCGGAAGCCUGAUCCAGCCAUGCCGCGUGUGUGAAGAAGGCCUUUUGGUUGUAAAGCACUUUAAGCGAGGAGGAGGCUACCUGGAUUAAUACUCUAGGAUAGUGGACGUUACUCGCAGAAUAAGCACCGGCUAACUCUGUGCCAGCAGCCGCCGUAAAAC
rnacentral:rRNA from 1 species